UAUAUUCUAGGGAAAACUUUAAAAAACCCUCCAUGGUUUUGUAUUUUUUUAUUUUAGUAUCCCGUAGUUUAAAGUGUACUGUGAAUCAAGUUAAUAUCCUGUGGUUUCGCACUUUCUCACUUUAAUACCCUGUGGUUUAAAGUGUAUCAAGUUCGUACUUUGUGGUUUUAUUUUUGUAUCAAGUUUGUAUCCUGUGGUUUUUAAACAACAGGGUACUAAAGUGAGAAACCACAGGGUACUAACUUGAUGCACUUUAAACCAUAGGGUACUAAAGUGAAAAAGUAUAAAACCACAGGGUACUAACUUGAUACACUUUAAACCACAGAAUACUAAUGUGAAAAAGUACAAACUACAGGGUACUAAAGUGAAAAAGUACAAAACCAUAGGGUACUAACUUAAUACACUUUAAACCAUAGGGUACUAAAGUGAGAAAAAGUAAAACCACAAGGAGAGUAUUUGAAGUUUUCCCUAUAUUUUAACUUAUUUGAAUGAAGAAUGCUACCUGUGUACCCCUAAUAUAAUUGUUAAUCUUACAUUCUUGAAUCCAAAGAUUAACAAAAUCUCAUCGAACUUUUAUGGCCAAUUUGCAUAAAAAAUCCACUUAUUUUGGGCUUUUGCAAAAUCGGGCCACCUUUUUCAUUUUUGCAGAUUCGAUUCGCUUUUUCAGCAAACUGACCAAAAUACCCUUAUUACUUUUUCUCUUUCCUCUUUCUCUCUCCUCUUCGUUCUCUCGUUCUUUUUUUUUUCCGCCAGAAAAAAAAAGCGAAGGCCAGGCGGAGCAAUUUUUUUUUUCUCUUUUUCUUUUUCUUCUUCUUCUUCCUCCUACUGGAGCACCUUUUUUUUUUCCCUCUUCUUUUCUUCUUCUUCUUCUUCUUCUUCUUCACUCCUCGUGACCGGCUGUUCGAGUCCUGGCUCCACCCGGCCCAGUACCGCACCCGCCUCUGCAAGA
rnacentral:lncRNA from 1 species